rnacentral:rRNA from 1 species
CCCCUGUCCUGGGGCUUACAGGUUUCUGGGGUGAGAAAAACUUGCUCUUCGAUUCAGCGGCGGACGGGUGAGUAAUGCCUAGGAAUCUGCCUGGUAGUGGGGGACAACGUUUCGAAAGGAACGCUAAUACCGCAUACGUCCUACGGGAGAAAGCAGGGGACCUUCGGGCCUUGCGCUAUCAGAUGAGCCUAGGUCGGAUUAGCUAGUUGGUGGGGUAAUGGCUCACCAAGGCGACGACCCGUAACUGGUCUGAGAGGAUGAUCAGUCACACUGGAACUGAGACACGGUCCAGACUCCUACGGGAGGCAGCAGUGGGGAAUAUUGGACAAUGGGCGAAAGCCUGAUCCAGCCAUGCCGCGUGUGUGAAGAAGGUCUUCGGAUUGUAAAGCACUUUAAGUUGGGAGGAAGGGCAGUAAGCGAAUACCUUGCUGUUUUGACGUUACCGACAGAAUAAGCACCGGCUAACUCUGUGCCAGCAGCCGCGGUAAUACAGAGGGUGCAAGCGUUAAUCGGAAUUACUGGGCGUAAAGCGCGCGUAGGUGGUUUGUUAAGUUGGAUGUGAAAGCCCCGGGCUCAACCUGGGAACUGCAUCCAAAAGCUGGCAAGCUAGAGUACAGUAGAGGGUGGUGGAAUUUCCUGUGUAGCGGUGAAAUGCGUAGAUAUAGGAAGGAACACCAGUGGCGAAGGCGACCACCUGGACUGAUACUGACACUGAAGGUGCGAAAGCGUGGGGAGCAAACAGGAUUAGAUACCCUGGUAGUCCACGCCGUAAACGAUGAGUGCUAAGUGUUAAGGGGUUUCCGUCCCUUAGUGCUGCAGCUAACGCAUUAGCACUCCGCCUGGGGAAGU